rnacentral:rRNA from 1 species
UACGGAGGGUGCGAGCGUUGUCCGGAAUCACUGGGCGUAAAGGGCGCGUAGGCGGCGCGGAUAGUCGGCGGUGAAAGCCCGGAGCUCAACUCCGGGUCGGCCGUCGAUACUUCCGGGCUUGAGCACUGUAGAGGCAGAUGGAAUUCCGGGUGUAGCGGUGGAAUGCGUAGAGAUCCGGAAGAACACCGGUGGCGAAGGCGGCUACCUGGACCGGUUCUGACGCUGAGGCGCGAAAGCGUGGGUAGCAAACAGG